AUGAAAAAUGCAAGCACGAUUUGGGGAGGGAUUUUCUCUAUUGUAACAAGGAAGAAUUAUCUACUCCAUCCGACUAGUUCCGGGUUCGAGUCCCGGGCAACCCAUAUAGAAAGGACAAAAUUGCUUGAAGCAUUUUCUUUCCUAUGGGAUAAAAAACAAUGA
rnacentral:rRNA from 1 species